GAUGACACAUCGCGUUUGCGUUAAAACUGAAGACGAGCGAGAGACGGACGACGGGAGAGGUUAUAAACGCGGAACAGCAAGAGUAUCUGCUCGUAUAAUAUUCCGCACACGGUGACUGUUCGCUUCUCCGUUACGAUUCCUCGGCAUCGUAGAGUGCGUUGCUUUUCUCGUAACACUGGCGGGCGGCAAUACAGAGCGAGUGAGCGAUCGAGGAAAAGAGAAAAAGAGAAAGAGCAUAAAUGGCGUUUGACGUACGUACGUGGAUUGGCGCUGCGGUUGUGUGUCGUCAAACGCGAAAUCGCACCGAUGACGUGCCGGUCAUUCAUGGAGCUCACCGUCACGCAAUUGGAAUGCGUGACUUACGAAGAGAAAGAAAAAGAAAGAGAAACGACGCUCGAACCGUCCUACACGAACCGCGCCAUUUUUCCCCUCCACUUUCUUCUCUUCGCCGAGGAUAUAGCCGCGCCAGCAUCGCUCUGUUUCUCGGAAAAACUUGUGUGCCCGGGAAUUUCGAAGAAAUCCGAGAAAUUCGUGUUUUUCGAGGGAAUUACAGCCGAGCCCAAAGUGAAUUCGAAGAAAAUGGUGUCGAAAAAAAUAAAAUAAGAAAGAAGUGACAUUGGCAUUGGGUUCAUAAACAAAUAAAUUUUCAAGUUUUUCAAUCCACUCGAAGUAAAUAGUUGACUAGGAAAAAUGUUUUAGACGGUAGCGAAAGUUUGCGGACCCAUCGCGCCACGUGAUAUUGCCGGCUCGGCCACGUGACUUCCCCCUACUUUGACCACCGCUCGGCGCGACGAGAGCGUGUGACGUCAUAGACAGCUGACUACCGAGCGCGGCCGAGCCGCCGUCGUUACACUAGUCCCGCGCCCUAUCCACCCACACUCACUCCCCGGAAAUAUCAGAGAACCGCACGAGAGAGAGUUCGCCCUUGAUGCCCGAAAUGUAAACCGCCGAUAUAAUCGCUCCCUGGACACUUUUUCUUCGAACAGCUACCCGCAACACGGAAACGAAAAUUCUUGAGCGCAUGCUUCCGGAUUUCUUUACACACAGAAAAUAGCACACGACGAAAUGACGUUUACGAAAUCGAGUUUUAUGUCAAAAAAUGUCAAGUUUAUUCAACACCAAACAACUUUUCAGAAAAAUGGGGGCAGAGGCGAGGGGAGCAGAACUCGUGUAACUCUUGACAGUCGUGGACGUUAUUUUUCGAUGAAUCAAAAACGAGAUCAAGGGUUUCUCGAGCCCUCAGUUUCUUUCUAGUUCGGCAUGGAGGAAAGAAUGGAGGGGGGAUUGACGAGAAAACGAGUUUGCAUGGUACAUCUGGCGGAUGCAUAAUCACGUUAAGCGGAUGAAUCUCUCACGAAUAUUUCUUUCGUUCGUCCGGCUCUUUUCUUUACUCUUUCUCGCUUCUUUGAACACCGACCAACUCACUCCAGGUC